UUGCAAAUUAUAGUUUUCUGAUUCUUUAAAACAUCUUGCUUUAUUUUGUAUAUUGAAAAAAAUUAGGUGGAUUUGUGAUUUCUCAUCAAAUAUUACACUACAAUUUAUUCUGAUAUAGAAAUAUAUAAAAAACAGUAAAUAUUAUUCAACAUAUUCAACCAACAUGAUUGAUACUGACGCAUCGACCUAAGAACCUUUAUUAUAACCCUACCUGAAACCACAGAAAAUUAGACUUCUAAUAUAAUUAUUUGAAACGAGAUAAAUCCAAACUUUUAACUUCGCGCUUCAAUACUCGUUGUUUUUUACUUUGUGGCACUGGUGCUUUUACAUUUUCUUGAACGUAAAAUUCGCGCAUUAAC